UAGUUUAUUAUAAAGUUAUUUUCUAUUUUAUUUUAGUUAAAAUUUGAUUUUAUGUUAAAAGUUUUAUUCUUGCUUAAAAAUUUACUAUUUCUUUAUAUUAUAUGUAAGUUUUGUUAAACUAAAUGUUCUUUUUGCAGUUAUUUGAUUUAAUUAUCAAGUAUUUUGGAAUUAGCAAUUGAUUUAGUAUUGGCAUAAUUCGUGCCAGCAGCCGCGGUUAUACGAUUUAUACAAAUGAAUAUUUUUGGUUAAAGCAGUUAUUUAUAAUUUUGGAUUUAAUUAUAAAUUUUUAUGGUGAAAUUUAAUUUUUAUUUAUGAUUCUUCUUAUGAAUCUGUGAAACUUAAAUAAUAAACUAGGAUUAGAUACCCUAUUAUUUUAAGUGUUAAUUAUGUUUACCUGGGUAGUAUUAGUUAAGGUCUUAAAACCCAAAGAAUUUGGCGGUAUCUCAUUCCAUUCAGAGGAACCUAUCCCUUAAUUGACAAUACACGAUUAACUUUACUUAAUUUAUUUGUUUGUAUAUCUCCGUUAACAGAAAAUCUUUUUAGAGUUAUAAUUUUCUUAAUUUAUAAUUGUAAAUUAUUUCAGGUCAAGGUGCAGCUUAUAAUUAAGAGGAGAUGGGUUACAAUAGAUUUUUUCUAUAACGGAUUUAAUAUUAAAAUAUAUUAAUGAAGGUGGAUUUGAUAGUAAUUUUCCAUAUUUAAUUUAAUUGAUGUUGGCUCUGAGGUGUGUACAUAUCGCCCGUCGCUCUCAUUUUUAAUAUUUAUUAAUUAUUAUAAAGUAAUAAUUUAAGUUAAAUGAGAUAAGUCGUAACAUAGUAGAUGUACUGGAAAGUGUAUCUAGAAAGAGUUUC
rnacentral:ncRNA from 1 species